UGGCUUAGCAGUCUUCCUGUCCUUUGCUGUGAUGUCUUUUAUUUGUAUAGAAAGGGAGGAAAGUAUUCCGAGUGACCGAAGCUAUCCUCUGCUGUUAGGAUCCGUACUGUCAGCUUCUGUUUAAAGAGUCUUCUUUCCAAGCUAUUAAAACGGACUGUACAUGAUAGGUAAGUAGGGUGAAGUAAGCAAGCUUGGCAGUUGUUAGUGCGAGUGAAGGCGCAAGCUAUGUGUUGCUUAGAGACUCUCUGCCCUGCUUUUGUGUAUGCCCGGGAUUCCUUGAAGUGUAGCCCGACCCAAUGGUAUCAUACUGGGGCGGAUAAGAACUCGAGGGGAUAGAGCACAAGAUCACAACAACAGCAACGUACCGUAGCACAUUCCAUCAGGGAACCCAACUCAGAAGGAGAUAUAGAGAGGGAUAACAAGAGAUAGCACUCAGCUAGCAACACCUGGGAAAGACCGCUUCACAACAGCAGUUAGAACAGCUACAACAGAAAGCUUCGAUAGGCAAAAGAAAGAUAACAAGGAAAAGCAAGAGUUUCAGUAAGAUUAGGUUGGGUUGUAGGUGAACAGUAGAACUCUGUUUAAAACAUAUAAAAGUUGUCCUCCUAGGCA
rnacentral:lncRNA from 1 species